rnacentral:rRNA from 1 species
GACGAACGCUGGCGGCGUGCUUAACACAUGCAAGUCGAACGGUAAGGCUCCAGCUUGCUGGGGUACACGAGUGGCGAACGGGUGAGUAACACGUGGGUGACCUGCCCUGCACUUCGGGAUAAGCCUGGGAAACUGGGUCUAAUACCGGAUAGGACCGCACCGUGAGGGUGUGGUGGAAAGUUUUUUCGGUGUGGGAUGGGCCCGCGGCCUAUCAGCUUGUUGGUGGGGUAAUGGCCUACCAAGGCGGCGACGGGUAGCCGGCCUGAGAGGGUGGACGGCCACAUUGGGACUGAGACACGGCCCAGAAUCCUACGGGAGGCAGCAGUGGGGAAUAUUGCACAAUGGGCGGAAGCCUGAGGCAGCGACGCCGCGUGGGGGAUGACGGCCUUCGGGUGGUAAACUCCUUUCACCAUCGACGAAGGGUUUCUGACGGUAGAUGGAGAAGAAGCACCGGCUAACUACGUG